UAGGAACACCACCAUCACCAGCAUGGAGAGC
rnacentral:piRNA from 1 species